UUCAAAAGAAAAUACAUCCAAAACAGUUUUCUGUUAACACUGUGGGGUUCUUCAGAAGCAGAUACGAGAAUUAGAAGAGAAGCUGGAUAAAGCCAACCAUAAACUGGAAGCUAACCGAAACAUUGAUAUACACGUCAAUACCUACACAGACAAGGUAUUGCCACGAGCCGGUAGAGUUAAUAAAAGAACAGCAGAGAAAUAUAAAGUAA